rnacentral:tRNA from 1 species
AUUCAAAUAGUUUAUUAAAAUGUUGAUUUGUGGAGUCAGAGAUAUAUAGAUUUUUAUAUUUUGAAUA